ACCUUCGAGCCUCUUUCUUUCUGGGUCUCCUGCUGCCCCUCCGACUGCUCCUCCUCAGCUUCCUUUUCCUCCAGAGGCUCUGUCUUUACUUACCGCUCUCCCCUCUAGGUUGACUCUCUCCAUAAGUAGUCUCCUCCUUCCUGCCCUUCACCCUCACAUGGCUUAUUCUCUCCACCAGGCCCACACACUCACCUCCAGGGUGUUGGGGGCCUCACCAGGAGGCCCCACACCUGGGACGCAGAGCUAAGUGCAUGGCCCAAAGACUAUAAGACUCGUAUGUUUUUGCCUUAUUCCUAGCCCUAUCUUAUGUUCCUUCUUAGGUUUCUUUUUAAAUCUUGUUCCUUUGUACUCAUCUCAUAGUUUAUAGACCCUUUUAAGUUGCCUUUAAAUCUUUCCCCAGUAAGGCUAUGCAAAAGCAAACAAAAACUAAGAUCAACAAUAAGAGCCACAAAGACCUACAAAAAGAUCAACAAAACCAGUCUCCAUCUGGUCCCUGAUGGCCCUCACCUUCUGCUUGGUUCUCCUGAAGCUGCCUUCCUCCCCUGGGCCCUGUUUCUAUUGAUGGCACUGCCAGAUUUCUGGCACAGAAAACCGGAAGGCCCCGCUGACUCAGCUUCUCUGUCUGCACGAGCCAGUCAGUCACCAAGUCUUGGAGCUUCUCUCUCCUUUACCAGCCCCUCAUUCUCUAUCCCAUCUCAGAGACUCCGGAUCUAAUGAUUUGUUUCUUUCCGAAACAGACCUCAAUAUCUCUUCCGAAACCAUUAUUCAUUGUAGAAAAGCAAUAGAUAUUCAUUGUAGAAAAUUUUCAAAAAUGCAAGUCAACAAAAAGAAGAAUGUGAAAACCACCUAUAAUUUUAUCAACAAGAAAACACUGUAGGCAUUUGGGUAAAAAUCUUUUUCAGUUUUAUGUAAAAGAGUUUUUGUGCAUGUGUUUUUUUUAAGCUCUUCUUAGUUUCUUUCCCAGUGUAUUUUUUUGGUCUUCCUGGUUCUGGGCUCAGCUGAUGGAACCCCAGGAGCUACUGCAGCACACACAGCCACCUGUUCAUCUCAUUUUAUACCUCCUUCAUGAAGCUGUCUCCAAGAUGGCAGACUAGAAGAACAUGCACUCAUCUUCUGUGAGAAUUCCAAAAUUACAACACACUGCUGAACAACCGUUGACAGG
ensembl:lncRNA